rnacentral:rRNA from 1 species
CCCUUAGAUGUUCUGGGCCGCACGCGCGCUACACUGACGAAUGCAACGAGCUUAUAACCUUGGCCGAAAGGUCUGGGUAAUCUCCAAAUUUCGUCGUGAUGGGGAUAGAUUAUUGCAAUUAUUAAUCUUCAACGAGGAAUGCCUAGUAAGCGCAAGCCAUCAGCUUGCGUUGAUUACGUCCCUGCCCUUUGUACACACCGCCCGUCGCUCCUACCGAUUGAAUGGUCCGGUGAAGCGCUCGGACCGCGGCCUCUUGACGGUUCGCUGUCGAUUGGCUGUGGGAAGUUCGUUAAACCUUAUCAUUUAGAGGAAGGAGAAGUCGUAACA